CAUAUACUCCCUUCAUUCAGAAUUACUCGUUCAAGAAAUGAAUGUAUCUAGAUGUAUUUUAGUUGUAGAUACAUCCAUUUUUGUGACAAGUAAUUCCGAACGGAGGGAGUAUUAA
rnacentral:pre_miRNA from 1 species